rnacentral:rRNA from 2 species
CCUACGGGAGGCAGCAGUGGGGAAUAUUGCACAAUGGGCGGAAGCCUGAUGCAGCGACGCCGCGUGAGGGAUGACGGCCUUGGUUGUAACCUCUUUCAGCAGGGACGAAGCGUAAGUGACGGUACCUGCAGAAGAAGCACCGGCUAACUACGUGCCAGCAGCCGCGGU